rnacentral:antisense_RNA from 1 species
UUUUAUCCUCCCGGCUGCUUCUGCUGCAGCUGAAGGCACACUGCUCCCUGCGUGCUCAUGAGUUUCUGCCUUGGAGCCAGCUGGCUGCACUGGAGUGGGACUGGGAGGGGUUGGAGGGCCCGAGAUGGGACAGGUGCUGACUGAGGGCACCUCUGCCCAUCUGGCUUUCAUUUUCCAAUCUGGCACCUUGUCCAGGCGGGCCUCCCGUUUCUGGCUCCGUGCUGAGCUUCCUGGAGAAGGGGAAGAGGGAGCCCACAGCUGUGGGAGGGGCUGCUACUGCUGCUGCUGCUGCUGCCGCCGCCGCUGCCGCCGCUGCCGCCGCCAUUGGACAAACCUCACCAGUACCUGCACAGGAGAAACACCACGGAUCACAGCGCGAUCUGAAUGGGUGCGUGCUGGUAUAAAGCCCGGCCCGUGUACUCCACCUGCCCCAGGAGCUGGAGACAAGACCUUGUGGCUACGCAGCGGAAACCUUGCCUUGUGACCCCUAGAACUGGCUUUCUUGACUACUCCUUCCCCAGAGCAGCCAAGUUCUACUCCCCCUCUCCCCACACAUGACCAGGAGGUUCAACCUCUCUGGCAAAUCAUCUUCUC